rnacentral:rRNA from 1 species
AUUGAACGCUGGCGGCAGGCCUACCCAUGCAAGUCGAGCGGAUGAAGGGAGCUUGCUCCUGGAUUCAGCGGCGGACGGGUGAGUAAUGCCUAGGAAUCUGCCUGGUAGUGGGGGAUAACGUCCGGAAACGGGCGCUAAUACCGCAUACGUCCUGAGGGAGAAAGUGGGGGAUCUUCGGACCUCACGCUAUCAGAUGAGCCUAGGUCGGAUUAGCUAGUUGGUGGGGUAAAGGCCUACCAAGGCGACGAUCCGUAACUGGUCUGAGAGGAUGAUCAGUCACACUGGAACUGAGACACGGUCCAGACUCCUACGGGAGGCAGCAGUGGGGAAUAUUGGACAAAGGGCGAAAGCCUGAUCCAGCCAUGCCGCGUGUGUGAAGAAGGUCUUCGGAUUGUAAAGCACUUUAAGUUGGGAGGAAGGGCAGUAAGUUAAUACCUUGCUGUUUUGACGUUACCAACAGAAUAAGCACCGGCUAACUUCGUG